rnacentral:rRNA from 1 species
CUCAGACAUGCAAGUCGAACGAUUAAAGCUCCCUUCGGGGAGUGCAUAAAGUGGCGCACGGGUGAGUAACACGUAAGUAAUCUGCCCUCGAGUGGGGAAUAACAUCGGGAAACCGAUGCUAAUACCGCAUAAUGCAGCGGCACCGCAAGGUGACAGUUGUUAAAGAUUUAUCGCUUGAGGAGGAGCUUGCGGCAGAUUAGCUAGUUGGUAAGGUAAUGGCUUACCAAGGCUACGAUCUGUAACCGGUCUAAGAGGACGGUCGGUCACACUGACACUGAAUAACGGGUCAGACUCCUACGGGAGGCAGCAGUCGGGAAUUUUGGGCAAUGGGGGAAACCCUGACCCAGCAACGCCGCGUGAAGGAUGAAGUAUUUCGGUAUGUAAACUUCGAAAGAAUAGGAAGAAUUAAUGACGGUACUAUUUAUAAGGUCCGGCUAACUACGUGCCAGCAGCCGCGGUAAUACGUAGGGACCAAGCGUUGUUCUGAUUUACUGGGCGUAAAGGGCGCGUAGGCGGCGUGGUAAGUCACUUGUGAAAUCUCCGAGCUUAACUCGGAACGGCCAAGUGAUACUGCUGUGCUAGAGUGCGGAAGGGGCAAUCGGAAUUCUUGGUGUAGCG